AACGAACGCUGGCGGCAUGCCUAACACAUGCAAGUCGAACGAGACCUUCGGGUCUAGUGGCGCACGGGUGCGUAACGCGUGGGAACCUGCCCUUAGGUUCGGAAUAACUCCCCGAAAGGGGUGCUAAUACCGGAUAGUGUCUUCGGACCAAAGAUUUAUCGCCUUUGGAUGGGCCCGCGUUGGAUUAGCUAGUUGGUAGGGUAAAAGCCUACCAAGGCGACGAUCCAUAGCUGGUCUGAGAGGAUGAUCAGCCACACUGGGACUGAGACACGGCCCAGACUCCUACGGGAGGCAGCAGUAGGGAAUAUUGGACAAUGGGCGAAAGCCUGAUCCAGCAAUGCCGCGUGAGUGAUGAAGGCCUUAGGGUUGUAAAGCUCUUUUACCCGGGAUGAUAAUGACAGUACCGGGAGAAUAAGCUCCGGCUAACUCCGUG
rnacentral:rRNA from 1 species